UACGUAGGUGGCAAGCGUUGUCCGGAUUUACUGGGCGCAAAGAGCGCGCAGGCGGUCGUUCAAGUCGCGUGUGAAAGCCCCCGGCUCAACUGGGGAGGGUCACGCGAUACUGAUCGACUCGAAGGCAGGAGAGGGAAGUGGAAUUCCCGGUGUAGUGGUGAAAUGCGUAGAUAUCGGGAGGAACACCAGUGGCGAAGGCGACUUCCUGGCCUGUUCUUGACGCUGAGGCGCGAAAGCUAGGGGAGCAAACGGG
rnacentral:rRNA from 1 species